AGUACACCUUAUUUUAUUCAGGACAUAAGAAUUGGGUCCUUUGUAUUGCAUGGUCACCUGAUGGUAAACAUCUUGUUAGUGGGAGUAAAGCCGGGGAACUCCAAUGUUGGGAUCCACAGACUGGGAAGCCAUCAGGCAAUCCACUUAUAGGCCAUAAGAAAUGGAUUACUGGAAUCUCUUGGGAACCAGUCCACCUGAACUCUCCCUGUCGACGCUUUGUAAGUGCUAGCAAAGAUGGUGAUGCACGCAUAUGGGACGUUACAUUGAGGAAAUCUGUUAUAUGUCUUAGUGGCCACACACUUGCAGUGACGUGUGUAAAAUGGGGGGGAGAUGGUGUUAUAUAUACAGGGUCCCAGGAUUGUACUAU